GAACGAAAGAGUUUGAUCCUGGCUCAGAUUGAACGCUGGCGGCAUGCUUUACACAUGCAAGUCGAA
rnacentral:rRNA from 1 species